GCUUAUGAUUGUCGAAUCAAGCUUUUCUUUGGGUCCAUUGGUGCACACAUCCAAGAGAUCGAAGCCAAGUAUAUCAUUUGCUUUCUUGAAUAACUCAGCAGCAGCCUGCACACUCUGAGCUUCGGCUCCCAUUCCAACAGUUUGAGCACCCUGGCCGGGAAAGAGGAAAGCGUGAGUCGGCUGGUAAUCCUUGAACAGCGAGUCCUCGACUGCCACCGACGCCUGCGAUACGACCGAGGCAGCCAUGGAAACCCUAGAUCUCGCGAACCCCCUCUCGAGAGAGAUCCGGGCCGCAUUCCUGGAGGUCCUCGGGAGGGCGAGGGCCGGGAUCGGGGCGCAGGCGGCGAACGACAUUGAGGGAAGACGGUCGGUAGCGGCGGCGAGCGAGAUCGAGCUGGAGAGGG
rnacentral:misc_RNA from 1 species